GAUGAAGAACGUAGCGAAAUGCGAUACGUAAUAUGAAUUGCAGAAUUCAGUGAAUCAUCGAAUCUUUGAACGCAUAUUGCGCUCUCUGGUAUUCCGGAGAGCAUGCUUGUUUGAGUAUCAGUAAACACCUCAACUCCCUUUUCUUUUUUGAAAUUGGAGCUGGACUUGAGUGAUCCCAACGCUUUCUUCCAAGAAAGUGGCGGGUUGCUUGAAAUGCAGGUGCAGCUGAACUUUUCUCUGAGCUAUAAGCAUAUCUAUUUAGUCUGCCUAAAAAACAGAUUAUUACCUUUGCUGCAGCUAACAUAAAGGAGACUAGUUCUUGUGCUGACUGAUGCAGGAUUCACAGAGACAGCUUCGGCUGACUUUGUAAACUCGAUCUCAAAUCAAGUAAGACUACCCGCUGAACUUAAGCAUAUCAAUAAGCGGAGGA
rnacentral:misc_RNA from 1 species